rnacentral:misc_RNA from 1 species
GAAAUGCGAUACGUAGUGUGAAUUGCAGAAUUCCGUGAACCAUCGAAUCUUUGAACGCACAUUGCGCUUGAGGCUUCGGCCAAGAGCAUGUCUGCCUCAGCGUCGGGUUAAUAUCGUCUCCCUUAAUCCUCCGGGAUCAAGGAAGUGCGGAUCUGGCUAUUCCAGCUAUGCAGCUUGUUUGCGCUAACCCGCAGACAUGGCAUCAAGCACCUGGAUUAGCUGAAGAUUAGAGGCAAACCAAAGGCUCGUAACGGGCCGCUACUGGGUGGGCUGUCAAAAGCUAUAUUCUUAGUAGUUGGUCUGAGACUUUGUGUUCAGCCCUCAAACAGGAACAUAUUAACCUAUUAUCUCGACCUGAGCUCAGGCAAGAACACCCGCUGAACUUAA